AGUGAACGCUGGCGGUAGGCCUAACACAUGCAAGUCGAACGGCAGCACAGUAAGAGCUUGCUCUUACGGGUGGCGAGUGGCGGACGGGUGAGGAAUACAUCGGAAUCUACUUUUUCGUGGGGGAUAACGUAGGGAAACUUACGCUAAUACCGCAUACGACCUACGGGUGAAAGCAGGGGAUCUUCGGACCUUGCGCGAUUGAAUGAGCCGAGGUCGGAUUAGCUAGUUGGCGGGGUAAAGGCCCACCAAGGCGACGAUCCGUAGCUGGUCUGAGAGGAUGAUCAGCCACACUGGAACUGAGACACGGUCCAGACUCCUACGGGAGGCAGCAGUGGGGAAUAUUGGACAAUGGGCGCAAGCCUGAUCCAGCCAUACCGCGUGGGUGAAGAAGGCCUUCGGGUUGUAAAGCCUUUUUGUUGGGAAAGAAAAGCAGCAGGUUAAUACCCCGCUGUUCUGACGGUACCCAAAGAAUAAGCACCGGCUAACUUCGUG
rnacentral:rRNA from 1 species